AGAGUUUGAUCUCGGCUCAGAAUUGAACGCUGGCGGCAUGGCUUACACAUGCCCGUUUAACGGAAGCCCGGACUUCGGUCUGGUGGUGAGUGGCGAACGGGUGAGUAAUAUAUCGGAACAUACCCUAGAGUGGGGGAUAACGUAGCGAAAGUUACGCUAAUACCGCCUACGAACUAAGGUUGAAAGUGGGGGAUCGCAAGACCUCAUGCUCAUGGAGUGGCCGAUAUCUGAUUAGCUAGUUGGUGAGGUAAAGGCUCACCAAGGCGACGAUCAGUAGCUGGUUUGAGAGAACGACCAGCCACACUGGAACUGAGACACGGUCCAGACUCCUACGGGAGGCAGCAGUGGGGAAUUUUGGACAAUGGGCGCAAGCCUGAUCCAGCAAUGCCGCGUGAGUGAAGAAGGCCUUCGGGUUGUAAAGCUCUUUUGUCAGGGAAGAAACGGUGAGUCCUAAUACGGCUUGCUAAUGACGGUACCUGAAGAAUAAGCACCGGCUAACUACGUGCCAGCAGCCGCGGUAAUACGUAGGGUGCAAGCGUUAAUCGGAAUUACUGGGCGUAAAGCGUGCGCAGGCGGUUAUAUAAGUCAGAUGUGAAAUCCCCGGGCUCAACCUGGGAACUGCAUUUGAGACUGUAUGGCUAGAGUGUGUCAGAGGGGGGUAGAAUUCCACGUGUAGCAGUGAAAUGCGUAGAUAUGUGGAGGAAUACCGAUGGCGAAGGCAGCUCCCUGGGAUAACACUGACGCUCAUGCACGAAAGUGUGGGGAGCAACAGGAUAGAUACCCUGGUACUCCAC
rnacentral:rRNA from 1 species